CAGUCGCCGCGGGAAUACGGAGGGUGCAAGCGUUAUCCGGAUUUAUUGGGUUUAAAGGGUCCGUAGGCGGAUCUGUAAGUCAGUGGUGAAAUCUCACAGCUUAACUGUGAAACUGCCAUUGAUACUGCAGGUCUUGAGUAAAUUUGAAGUGGCUGGAAUAAGUAGUGUAGCGGUGAAAUGCAUAGAUAUUACUUAGAACACCAAUUGCGAAGGCAGGUCACUAAGAUUUAACUGACGCUGAUGGACGAAAGCGUGGGGAGCGAACAGGAUUAGAGACCCGUGUAGUCCCUGUCUCUUAUAC
rnacentral:rRNA from 1 species